AGUGAACGCUGGCGGUAGGCCUAACACAUGCAAGUCGAACGGCAGCACAGUAAGAGCUUGCUCUUACGGGUGGCGAGUGGCGGACGGGUGAGGAAUACACCGGAAUCUACUUUUUCGUGGGGGAUAACGUAGGGAAACUUACGCUAAUACCGCAUACGACCUACGGGUGAAAGCAGGGGAUCUUCGGACCUUGCGCGAUUGAAUGAGCCGAUGUCGGAUUAGCUAGUUGGCGGGGUAAAGGCCCACCAAGGCGACGAUCCGUAGCUGGUCUGAGAGGAUGAUCAGCCACACUGGAACUGAGACACGGUCCAGACUCCUACGGGAGGCAGCAGUGGGGAAUAUUGGACAAUGGGCGCAAGCCUGAUCCAGCCAUACCGCGUGGGUGAAGAAGGCCUUCGGGUUGUAAAGCCCUUUUGUUGGGAAAGAAAAGCAGCAGGUUAAUACCCCGCUGUUCUGACGGAACCCAAAGAAUAAGCACCGGCUAACUUCGUG
rnacentral:rRNA from 1 species